rnacentral:ncRNA from 1 species
GAUAGAGGUGCGUGGCCCAUGAGUAUCUCUCCCGUCGGACAGGCGCAGGGGAGAGGGAAGGGGGGCUUCGCCGAGGCAUCGCAGCCCUGCCUGUGGGAUGCGGCGCCGGGCCGCGGGAUAACAUCCCCCGGACUGUCGUCCCGGAAACGGGGCGGAGCGCUGUCGU